ACGGCAAGGUGAAGAUGCGAGGGGGCUUGCUGAGAACCUACAUCAUCAGUAUCCUCUUCAAGUCUGUCUUCGAGGUGGCCUUCUUGCUGAUCCAGUGGUACAUCUAUGGAUUCAGCUUGAGUGCCGUUUACACUUGCAAAAGAGAUCCCUGCCCGCAUCAGGUGGACUGUUUCCUUUCUCGGCCCACGGAGAAGACCAUCUUCAUCAUCUUCAUGCUUGUCGUGUCGUUGGUGUCUCUUGCCUUGAACAUCAUCGAACUCUUCUAUGUCUUUUUCAAGGGUGUUAAGGAUCGCGUGAAGGGAAAGAGCGAUCCUUACCACACUACCACUGGCCCACUGAGCCCCUCCAAAGACUGUGGAUCUCCAAAAUAUGCUUAUUUCAAUGGCUGCUCCUCCCCAACCGCUCCUCUCUCGCCCAUGUCUCCUCCCGGGUACAAGCUGGUCACCGGAGACAGAAACAACUCUUCCUGCCGCAAUUACAACAAACAAGCAAGUGAGCAAAACUGGGCCAAUUACAGCGCAGAACAAAAUCGAAUGGGGCAGGCGGGAAGCACCAUCUCUAACUCCCAUGCACAGCCUUUUGAUUUCCCCGAUGAUAACCAGAAUUCUAAAAAACUAGCUGCUGGACAUGAAUUACAGCCACUAGCCAUUGUGGACCAGCGACCUUCAAGCAGAGCCAGCAGUCGUGCCAGCAGCAGACCUCGGCCUGAUGACCUGGAGAUCUAGAUACAGGCUUGAAAGCAUCAAGAUUCCACUCAAUUGUGGAGAAGAAAAAAGGUGCUGUAGAAAGUGCACCAGGUGUUAAUUUUGAUCCGGUGGAGGUGGUACUCAACAGCCUUAUUCAUGAGGCUUAGAAAACACAAAGACAUUAGAAUACCUAGGUUCACUGGGGGUGUAUGG
rnacentral:misc_RNA from 1 species